GCGGGUGUAGCUCAAUGGUAGAGCGCCAGCCUUCCAAGCUGGACACGUGGGUUCGAUUCCCAUCACCCGCUCCA
rnacentral:tRNA from 1 species